AAGAAAUCUCAAUGGAUUUAAUCAGUCUAGCUAGACAUGUUCAUGUUUAAAACAAUCUAGGAAAUCAAUUACAAUGAAAGAAUAAUGAAAAUAAAACAUGUACACCCUUUUCUCUCGAAUUGGAUAAACAGCUCCAAAUCUAGAUCUACACUUUGAUUAAUCUCCCAAAUUACCUCUUGAAUUGCUCCACUACUGUUUUGCACUCAGAAACUUGCGAUUUCG
rnacentral:lncRNA from 1 species